CUCAACAAAGAUGGCGCGGACGACCUAAGUCGCGUCACGCUACCGGCGCGUCACGCGACCUUGCCGCAAUGCUCCUCCCGCGCAGCUCUUAUCCCCGUAGACUGCGGCCGAGACGGGGAGGGGGAAGCCUCGCCUGGGGGGCGGCAGUGGCCUGGGCGGCUCUCCGGCUGCUGUUGUAUGGCUGCACGUUGGCGCUACCGGACGGGAUGCUGUAUCCCCGAGAGAGCCCGUCGUGGCAGCGCAAGCAGCUGGACGGCCUCUGAAGCUUCCGCGCCGACUUCUCCGACAACCGACGCCGGGGCUUCGAGGAGCAGAGGUACCGGCGACCGCUGUCGGAGGCGCGGACUCGGGGCAGGGCCAGGAGUCGCCCGGAAGCCCGGCGGUGGGAAUGGGUCAGGCCCCACCGUGGACAUGCCGGUUCCCUCCAGCUUCAACGACAUCGGCCAGGGCUGGCGGCUGCGGCAUUUUGUCAGCUGGUUGUGGUAUGAACGGGAGGUGACCCUGCUGGAGCGAUGGAUCCAGGACCUGUGCACAAGAGUGGUGCUGAGGAUUGGCAGUGCCCACUUCUAUGCCAUCGUGGUAUCCCAAGGGUUACUUUGUCCAGAACACAGACUUUGACUUCUUCAGCUACGCAGGACUGCUGUGGUCUCUGCUUCUAUACACGACACCCCCCACCUACAUCGAUGACGUCACCGUCACCACCGGCGUGAAGCGAGACAGUGGUGAGGGCUUCUGGACUGGAUGGAGGACCUGAAGACGUGAGGUGGAGGCACAGGUAGAAGAGAAGAUUCUCACCAUCGCUGAUUCACACAAAAGCAUUUCUCCAAGUGGUUGCAGAUGACAUGAUUUCCCAAAGUGUUAGAGCUGAAGUGUGUUUCCUUGUGUAUAUAUACUGUGGUUCCUUUAUCCCUUCAUCUGUGGAUAGACAGGUGCAACCGUGUGGUUCCCCACGAUAUGAUUUCAUUGUGGUUUUCUGUCUGAAGAGUAUCCCAGUAUGUACCUGUGGAGCAGCUUCUUUAUCCCUUCAUCUGUGGAUAAGCAGGUCAUGUCCUCCAGGUUUCUGCACGUUGCUGCAGAUGACAUGAUUUCAUGAAUUUCUGCGGCCGAAGAGGAUUCCACUGCGUGCUGCAGUUUCUUUAUCCCUUUAUCUGUGCAUGAACAGUGCAGGCCAAGGCCCCCUGCCCAUGGAGGUGUGCUGCAGACAGCAGCAGCAGCAGCAGCAGCAGCAGCAGCAGCAGCAGAGGCCUGGCUUCCUGAGGAAUUGCUGGCCGGUUUGAGGAAGGAAGGAAGUCCCACCUACCAUGAUCACCCUCCAGCCUGGAGGAAGCUCCAUGCCAGCAGCAUGGACCAGCAUGGGAGCCAGAGCCCUGCUAAUGCUGCAGCUCAUCACCCCUGCUCAGCAGCCCAGCAGCCCAGCAGCCAUUGCCACAUCCCAUUUCCAGGGCCUCCUGCCCCCAUGCCCCCACGUGCCCAUGGACCGACACACCACUCUUCCUGUUGGCCCAAGGUAGGCAUGGAGGGAAUUUUUCAAGUCCACUUUUAGUAGGUAAGUCAAAACCAAACAAAAUAACCACUCGACACCUGGUCCAAUGCCCUUCCAAACUCACUCUUUUCUCUGACCCUUAAACACUUGUCCUGCAUCUCCCAGACUCCACUGUACCUUGAUCAGUAGGUCCCUCUUCACUGCAGUGUCUUUUUUGCAGAGUUCUUUUAGCUCUUUCAUGCUUUUGCUAUGGGCAGAGGAAAGAAAGAAGGGUAAAUUUGGGAAUCAGGGGAGAUUUGUGAGUUCCAGUCCCUUUUGUUUGAAAACCCAGUGAAUCCCAGCUUACUGGGUGAGAGUUUUCAGUGGAGUCCUCUGAUCACAGGGGCUCCAGAGGACCAGGGUGGGACCUCUCAUGCUCCUCCCCUGGGCCCCAUCUCCACUUCACAUGAGCCACUGCGUGUUUACAGUUAGCUUUCAGCUGGACACAGAGUUCCACUGCUGGGUACAAACACCUGAAAGCCUCCAGUUGGCUCCAGUCUGUUCCUGAUGGUUAAAAAACCUUAGUCCUGAGUUGGAAAUCCUUGCCUAGGAGUCCAGGGCAGCUUAGUGACCACAGCCACCGGCCCAUCCCUGCCUCCAGUGUCCCUGGACUCCAAGAACCUUUCAGAGUCAUUGAGGGCACAUGGGGGGAGACCUGUGAGUCCCUAGGUCAACCCUGAUGCUGCCAUGGAGAGAGCCCUCCUCACCUGGACACUCCUGCCCACGUCUUGUGUAGCUGACCUAUUGGGUUGCUGCACAGAGCAGAGACGAUGACGUGCACCGAGGAGAAGUUGUUGAGGCUUAGGCACUCCUGGAGAGGGAAGAAUGAGCUGUGCGGUUCAGAGUUGGAGCUUGGCCCACUACAGCCUCAGCCCCCUCUGCUGAGAUCUCCCCUCCUGGAUGAAGCAGAGGCCUGGGGAGCCUCAGGAGGGCAGACCUGGGGCCGAGUGGAUGUCACUCAUCUAGGAGGAUUUUAGUUCAACCCAAGGAAGACCCCAGGUCGGAAGUGAGCAGCCACCACUGGGCCGUGGGAGUCAAGUCUGGAGAAACAGCUACGGCCAUCCCAGCCCUGGCCAAGGGGAAAAUGCCGGAAGACUCCAGGGUGGGAGGAAGCGCGUCCCAAGGCCCAGGAUCUGCGAGGCGACUUGGGGAAAACGCAGGACCUGCUGAAGCUCACACCCGUGGACCACCCAGACUGCCUGCCGCUACAGGAUGCCCUCCGCAUCUCCCAGGACUUCUUUCCGGCAUCAGUGUGGACAUUGACCCCACUGGACUGCAGUCACAGUGGACUCCCAAGGGGCAGGAUCCACCUCUGAUGUUCAGUGAAGACUACCAGAAAAGUCUGCUAGAGCAGUACCAUCUGGGUCUGGAUCAAAAACUCAGAAAAUACGUGGUUGGAGAGCUCAUCUGGAAUUUUGCCGAUUUCAUGACUAACCAGUGUCAGCCCAAGACUACCCCGUCGGUCAUUCUGUUCCUGCCGUCCUGUGAGGAGCCCCAAGCCAACAAGGCCACACUGGUGUGUCUCAUGAAUAACUUUAUCCGGGAAUCUUGAUGGUGACCUGGAAGGCAGAUGGUACCCUCAUCACCCAGAGCGUGGAGAAGACCACGCCCUCCAAACAGAGCAACAACAAGUACGUGGCCAGCAGCUACCUGAGCCUGACGCCCGAGCAGUGGAGGUCCCGCAGAAGCUACAGCUGCCAGGUUAUGCAAGAAGGGAGCACCGUGGAGAAGUCAGUGGCCCCUGCAGAAUGUUCAUAGGUUCCAGCCCCCACCCCACCCACAGGGGCCUGGAGCUGCAGGAUCCCAGGGGAGGGGUCUCUCUCUGCAUCCCAAGCCAUUCAGCCCUUCUCGCUGUACCCAGUAAACCCUCAAUAAAUAUCUUUGUCAGCCAGAAA